GCCCGGAUGGUGGAAUGGCAGACACAGCGGACUUAAAAUCCGCGAGCAUACGCUGUGAGGGUUCGAGUCCCUUUCCGGGUA
rnacentral:tRNA from 1 species